AAAAUCCGUCGACUUU
rnacentral:tRNA from 14 species